rnacentral:rRNA from 1 species
GUACGUAGGGACCGAGCGUUGUCCGGAAUCAUUGGGCGUAAAGAGCGUGUAGGCGGCUAUUUAAGUCCUGCGUGAAAUCCUGCGGCUCAACCGCAGACGGUCGUGGGAAACUGGAUGGCUAGAGUGCGGGAGAGGAGAGUGGAAUUCCCGGUGUAGCGGUGAAAUGCGUAGAUAUCUGGAAGAACACCAGUGGCGAAGGCGGUCAACUGGCCCAUAACUGACGCUCAGGCACGAAAGCGUGGGUAGCGAACAGG